AACGGUCUAUACCUGCGGUACCUGCGGAGGGAUCAUUAACGUAUCUCCGAUGGGGUGUGGUGCGCCCUGCUCCGGUCCAACUGGCCGUGCAGCGGGUGUGCUGCCCCUGUCUACACCUCACAAACCCACUGUGAACCUUCACGGCGGAGGGGCUUCGCGGCUCACGCUGCGUUCCCCGAGGCCGCAUACCAAACUCCAGUUUACAAAGAAUGUCGUGCGGACCCUGUGCCGCCUAAAUUG
rnacentral:misc_RNA from 1 species